rnacentral:lncRNA from 1 species
AUACAAUAUUCCUGGUUUGCAUUGUGCCUUGUAUUUCUCAAAGAUCUUUCAGGAAAAGACAGGCUCCUCUUAUUCUUCCUGUGUCCUCUUCUGCUUCUCUAGAGCAUAGAGCUGGAAGCUAGUUAGAUGUUAUUAAUGCAGGAAUUAAUUCAACAUACCAUGGACACAAUUAAAAUAGUAGAAGAAACUCAGGACUCACUUAGGUAAGGGAAUAAACUAUCUGGUCUAAAUUGGUAUAUAAUAUGUGCCAUGUAUCUCAAACUGGGUCACAGAAAGCUUUAGGAAUCUGCAGGCUCACUGUUGUGGAUGAACAUGUGCCAGAUGAAGUCUUCAGGGAAACCAGGAAGAAGAAAAACCCUUUAAAGUGGCCAGGAAAUCACAAGUUUUCCUGAACAAGAAUGAAAACUUACAAUGCCAGUAACGUGGUGGCAGACUUCCAUCCACAGAGCUCAGGACUUCAAGGCUGUCUGGAGAGGCAGGUGCCCAGGAGGAGCCCAGAAGCUGCUGACACUCCCAGGGUGGCAAAAGACCCUCAUUGGCAGAGAGAGCAAAACCAACCUAUCACCUUUCAUUGCUGAUAAGAAAGUGGAGAAAAACAUGCAAGGAUUGCCUUCUUUUUAAUAUGUCUAAAGGCCUCCAAAUAAGAGGUCUGAGGUAGAGAAAGGUUCUCUGGAAUGGUCUCAGGCCACUGUACAGCAACAGCUCUGAGUGGCCACAUAGUGCUGCAUCUGAACCCCUGACCCAGGAACAAAAUGAAUUACGUGUAGACUGAGGUAUGGAGAUGGGACAACUCCAGUUUCUCACGUUUCAAAGGAAUAAAGCAGUGACUGUAGACAGUGGUUGCUUGGAGCUAGCUCUUCUCUUCCCAGCUUGCCUAUGGAUCCUCCUGAGCAGCCAUCUUUCACAUGCAUGCUCAGGAGAACAUUCUGGAAAGCAGCUCAAGUGUGAAAUUUUGGGAAGAGCCUUUGUUGCUGACUUCAGACAGGAAAAUCACACCCUGGAAGAGGAAAAGGCCAAGAGUGCUAGCAGCACUAUGAGCAUCUUGGACACACCCAAUGCUACAAGGAGAUAAAAUAAUGCAAUGAGACACAGACCAGAGUAGAAGACACUACAGCAGAACACAAUAUAGUGCAAUACAAGGAUGGCACAUUGUGUACAAGGACUGUCAGGGUAUGCAUUUAAGACGUUUCUGCAAGAGAGUUCUACAGAGAGCUUGACCUGCUGUUGUUGAAAUUUGUAGUGGUUUUCUUGUUUCAAGUUAAAAGAAAGAUAGAGAGAGAGGUUUUAGCAGAGAGGUUUUAGUCCCUAGAGGAUAAAUCUCACCUUUAAAAAUAAUAGUGUGAAGUAUGAGUCAUUGAAACACUGUAUGUCACACUAGAGGUGUGGAGGUGGAGACUUGCAGGUAAAUGUGGUUUUAACCAAAGUUGUCUGGCCAGGGGAGACUAUCCAUGGGGGUGAAGAGCUCUCAUUAGAAGUCAUAUGUUUGGACAUUUAUCUGCAUCACAGUCCCA